rnacentral:rRNA from 1 species
GACGAACGCUGGCGGCGGGCUUAACACAUGCAAGUCGAACGGAAAGGCCCUGCUUUUGUGGGGUGCUCGAGUGGCGAACGGGUGAGUAACACGUGAGUAACCUGCCCUUGACUUUGAGAUAACUUCAGGAAACUGGGGCUAAUACCGGAUAGGAGCUCCUGCUGCAUGGUGGGGGUUGGAAAGUUUCGGCGGUUGGGGAUGGACUCGCGGCUUAUCAGCUUGUUGGUGGGGUAGUGGCUUACCAAGGCUUUGACGGGUAGCCGGCCUGAGAGGGUGACCGGCCACAUUGGGACUGAGAUACGGCCCAGACUCGUACGGGAGGCAGCAGUGGAGAAUAUUGCACAAUGGGCGGAAGGCUGAUGCAGCAACGCCGCGUGCGGGAUGACGGCAUUCGGGUUGUAAACCGAUUUUGCCUGUGACGAAGCGUGAGUGACGGUAAUGGGUAAAGAAGCACCGGCUAACUACGUG